GCCGGGGUAGCAAAAUGGCAAAGCACCCGACUUAAAAUUGGGGGUCCGCAAGGACAUUACGGGUUCGAGUCCCGUCCCCGGCA
rnacentral:tRNA from 1 species